rnacentral:rRNA from 1 species
UACGUAGGGUGCAAGCGUUAAUCGGAAUUACUGGGCGUAAAGCGCGCGCAGGCGCCCCGACACAUCGGCGGUGAAAGCCCCCCGCUUAACGGGGGAGGGUCCGUCGUGAUGGUCGGGCUGGAGGCAGGGAGAGGGCGGUGGAAUUCCGGGUGUAGUGGUGAAAUGCGUAGAGAUCCGGAGGAACACCAGUGGCGAAGGCGGCCGCCUGGACCUGGACCUGAC